rnacentral:rRNA from 1 species
CCUACGGGAGGCAGCAGUGGGGAAUAUUGGGCAAUGGGCGCAAGCCUGACCCAGCAAUGCCGCGUGAAGGAAGAAGGCUUUCGGGUUGUAAACUUCUUUGACAGGGGAAGAGCAGAAGACGGUACCCUGAAAACAAGCCACGGCUAACUACGUGCCAGCAGUCGCGGUAAUACGGAGGUGGCGAGCGUAGUCCGGAUUUACUGGUUGUAAAGGGCGUGUAGCCGGGAAGGCAAGUCAGAUGUGAAAUCUGGAGGCUCAACCUCCAAAUUGCAUUUGAAACUGUUUUUCUUGAGUACUGGAGAGGCGGACGAAAUUCCUUGGGUAGCGGUGAAAUGCGUAGAUAUAAGGAGGAACACCAGUGGCGAAGGCGGUCUGCUGGACAGCAACUGACGGUGAGGCGCGAAAGCGUGGGGAGCAAACAGGAUUAGAUACCCUGGUAGUC